rnacentral:rRNA from 1 species
ACAAAUUGGGGGGGCUGCUAUAAUGCAGUCGAACGAGCUUCCGUUGAAUGACGUGCUUGCACUGAUUUCAACAAUGAAGCGAGUGGCGAACUGGUGAGUAACACGUGGGAAAUCUGCCCAGAAGCAGGGGAUAACACUUGGAAACAGGUGCUAAUACCGUAUAACAACAAAAUCCGCAUGGAUUUUGUUUGAAAGGUGGCUUCGGCUAUCACUUCUGGAUGAUCCCGCGGCGUAUUAGUUAGUUGGUGAGGUAAAGGCCCACCAAGACGAUGAUACGUAGCCGACCUGAGAGGGUAAUCGGCCACAUUGGGACUGAGACACGGCCCAAACUCCUACGGGAGGCAGCAGUAGGGAAUCUUCCACAAUGGACGAAAGUCUGAUGGAGCAAUGCCGCGUGAGUGAAGAAGGGUUUCGGCUCGUAAAACUCUGUUGUUAAAGAAGAACACCUUUGAGAGUAACUGUUCAAGGGUUGACGGUAUUUAACCAGAAAGCCACGGCUAACUACGUGCCAGCAGCCGCGGUAAUACGUAGGUGGCAAGCGUUGUCCGGAUUUAUUGGGCGUAAAGCGAGCGCAGGCGGUUUUUUAAGUCUGAUGUGAAAGCCUUCGGCUUAACCGGAGAAGUGCAUCGGAAACUGGGAGACUUGAGUGCAGAAGAGGACAGUGGAACUCCAUGUGUAGCGGUGGAAUGCGUAGAUAUAUGGAAGAACACCAGUGGCGAAGGCGGCUGUCUAGUCUGUAACUGACGCUGAGGCUCGAAAGCAUGGGUAGCGAACAGGAUUAGAUACCCUGGUAGUCCAUGCCGUAAACGAUGAGUGCUAAGUGUUGGAGGGUUUCCGCCCUUCAGUGCUGCAGCUAACGCAUUAAGCACUCCGCCUGGGGAGUACGACCGCAAGGUUGAAACUCAAAGGAAUUGACGGGGGCCCGCACAAGCGGUGGAGCAUGUGGUUUAAUUCGAAGCUACGCGAAGAACCUUACCAGGUCUUGACAUCUUCUGCCAAUCUUAGAGAUAAGACGUUCCCUUCGGGGACAGAAUGACAGGUGGUGCAUGGUUGUCGUCAGCUCGUGUCGUGAGAUGUUGGGUUAAGUCCCGCAACGAGCGCAACCCUUAUUAUCAGUUGCCAGCAUUCAGUUGGGCACUCUGGGUGAGAC